GUAAAGAAGUAAUAUAUACAUGUAGUUUCGACCUAAAAAUAAGAUUAAUAUCCAUACUUU
rnacentral:tRNA from 1 species